rnacentral:rRNA from 1 species
UUCCAGACUCCUACGGGAGGCAGCAGUGAGGAAUAUUGGUCAAUGGGCGGAAGCCUGAACCAGCCAAGUCGCGUGAGGGAAGAAGGCCCUGCGGGUCGCAGACCUCUUUGGACGGGGAGCAAGGCCGCCGACGUGUCGGCGGAAGGAGAGUACCCGUAGAACAAGCAUCGGCUAACUCCGUGCCAGCAGCCGCGGUAAUACGGAGGAUGCGAGCGUUAUCCGGAUUUACUGGGUGUAAAGGGAGCGUAGACGGCCAGACAAGUCUGAAGUGAAAAUCCAGCGCUUAACGUUGGAAGUGCUUUGGAAACUGCCGGGCUAGAGUGCAGGAGGGGCAGGCGGAAUUCCUAGUGUAGCGGUGAAAUGCGUAGAUAUUAGGAGGAACACCAGUGGCGAAGGCGGCCUGCUGGACUGCAACUGACGUUGAGGCUCGAAGGCGUGGGGAGCAAACAGGAUUAGAUACCCCCGUAA